rnacentral:misc_RNA from 1 species
AACGCACGAGACCUGCGGACCUGCGGAGGGAUCAUUAAAAAGAUCGAACCAAAAAUAUGGACGAUCAAAAUCCAUAUCCACCUUGUGUGCACUCAUUGACCGUUCGCUUUGGCAGGAGUUGUCUUUGGAUCCCCGGCAAGGGAAUUCGAAGCGCGAGGGGGACACACCCCUCGGCCUGCCAGAGUUUUUUCCAAGAUCCACACUUUUUUAAACCUUUUGGACUGAACCCUCGUCUCGAUU